UGGUAGUAGCGCUGCCUGCAAACCAGCACCAAGGCUGCAAACGAAGCCAGAAAGAUGGUGGCCAGCACACCUAUGGCAACUAUCACCACGGUCUCCAUGCUUCCGGGGAGCUCCUGACUCAGUCCCGUUCACAUCGUCCUCAUGGGCUAAGGCUGCUGGAAGUGGCAAACUGGGGGAAGAGGAUGGCAGGAGCUAGGUUCCUCCACGACACCUCCAGAGACCUGAGGGCCUCAAGCUGCAGCUCCGGGGCACAUCCCGCUGCGCUCCCACGACGGCCCCGCGGAUGGCAAAGUCAGCGGCAUCGCCUAUGCAGGCAAUCAAAGGAUGUUGAUGGAUAAGUGUUUCAGGCAGAAUAAUGGCCCUCAAAGAUGUUGACACCAGAAUCUUCAGAACCUUUGCAUAUGUUACCUAACAUGACAAAAGGGACUUUGCUGAUGUGAUUAAGGUUAAGAACUUUGAGAAGGGAAGAUUAUCCUGGAUUAUACAGGUCGACGUUUAUUUCUUUCUGAACUUUCCUGGAGGAUCAUCGGCCAUACUCCAGCAGAAGGGUGGAUUUGAAAAAAUAACGUUUCCACGGCAACAGUGGCAGCAAUUCACUCCUGCUCUUUUUCUAUUUGGACACCUGGACAUGGAUGUCCGCUUCCCUGGGAGUACCAGUUACACCCUUUCCAAGUUGUCUGAAGGAAGACGUUGGAGAAUUCACAUGCUAUUUUAGCUGGCUCUGUGAUUGCAAUCACACAAAUCAUUACAUUCCAGCGAGAUCCCAUCAACAGAAGGUUUUUCCAUUUCAGUCUGUCAAGUGUUCAAAUUCUAUCUUCAGCAUAGUGAGCCCAAACAAAACCAAUUCCUUUCAUGCCCUCUACUGGAUAUUUGAAGUUAAACGUCAAUAACACUGCAAAGUAACCAAAAUAAUGAUACACAUAAUAUCCAGAAUGUUCUUUUAUAGCCUCUUUAAAUAAAAAUUCGUUUACAUUG
rnacentral:lncRNA from 1 species